rnacentral:rRNA from 1 species
GACAGAGGGUGCAAACGUUGCUCGGAAUCACUGGGCGUAAAGGGCGUGUAGGCGGGAAGGAAAGUCAGAUGUGAAAGCCCGGGGCUCAACCCAGGAACUGCAUUUGAAACUCCCUUUCUUGAGUGUCGGAGAGGAAAGCGGAAUUCCUGGUGUAGAGGUGAAAUUCGUAGAUAUCAGGAGGAACACCGGUGGCGAAGGCGGCUUUCUGGACGACAACUGACGCUGAGACGCGAAAGCGUGGGGAGCAAACAGG